rnacentral:lncRNA from 1 species
CCUCGAGUCAAACUCCCACAACGCUGGUGACAUUCUGCUCGCCCUCUCCUCCUUCGGCUCUUCCACUCCCUCACUCUACUCGUGCGCUGCCGUGUCUCCCCUUCCUCCAUGACCUCCAAGCCACCGGAAAGGAGGGUGACAUCGACGGCUUCCGGCGAGCCUCCUUCCUCCCUUCCUCCCUCCCUCCAUCCCUCCCUCUUUCAUGACC